AUUGAACGCUGGCGGCGUGCCUAACACAUGCAAGUCGAGCGGUAACGCGGGGGCAACCCUGGCGACGAGCGGCGGACGGGUGAGUAACGCUUAGGAAUCUUCCCAGUAGUGGGGAACAACCCGGGGAAACUCGGGCUAAUACCGCAUACGCCCUCGGGGAAAGGCGGGGACCGGUAAGGCCUCGCGCUAUUGGAUGAGCCUAAGUCGGAUUAGCUAGUUGGUAGGGUAACGGCCUACCAAGGCGACAAUCCGUAGCUGGCUGAGAGGACGACCAGCCACACUGGGACUGAGACACGG
rnacentral:rRNA from 1 species